rnacentral:tRNA from 1 species
GCCUGGGUGGCUCAGUUGGUUAAGUGUCUGACUUUGGCUCAGGUCAUGGCCUCACGGUUCGUGAGUUCGAGCCCCGCAUCAGGCU